AGUGAACGCUGGCGGUAGGCCUAACACAUGCAAGUCGAACGGCAGCACAGUAAGAGCUUGCUCUUACGGGUGGCGAGUGGCGGACGGGUGAGGAAUACAUCGGAAUCUACUUUUUCGUGGGGGAUAACGUAGGGAAACUUACGCUAAUACCUCAUACGACCUACGGGUGAAAGCAGGGGAUCAUCAGACCUUUCGCGAUUGAAUGAGCCGAUGUCGGAUUAGCUAGUUGGCGUGGUAAAGGCCCACCAAGGCGACGAUCCGUAGCUGGUCUGAGAGGAUGAUCAGCCACACUGGAAGUGAGACACGGUCCAGACUACGACGGGAGGAAGAAGUGGGGAAUAUUGGAGAAUGGGCGAAAGCCUGAUCCAGCCAUACCGCGUGAGUGAAGAAGGCCUUCGGGUUGUAAAGCUCUUUUGUUGGGAAAGAAAAGCAGCAGGUUAAUACCACGCUGUUAUGACGGUACCCAAAGAAAAAGCACCGGCUAACUUCGUG
rnacentral:rRNA from 1 species